GCAUAACGCGAAGAACCUUACCCAGGCUUGACAUCCUUGGAAGGUCUCCGAAGGAGACUGUGCCUUGUGAGCCAAGUGACAGGUGUUGCAUGGCCGUCGUCAGCUCGUGUCGUGAGAUGUUUGGUUAAGUCCAUCAACGAGCGCAACCUUAUAGUUAGUGUAAUUUUCUAGCUAGACUCGACCCCGGUAACGGGGAGGAAGGAGGGGAUGAUGUCAGGUCAGUAUUACCCUUACGCCUGGGGCUAGAAACACGCUACAAUGGCCGGUACAAAGGGCUGCCAAGUCGCAAGACGGAGCAAAUCCCAUCAAAGCCGGUCCCAGUUCGGAUAGGAGGCUGAAACUCGCCUCCUUGAAGCCGGAAUCGCUAGUAACGGUGAGUCAGCACAUCACCGUGAAUACGUUCCCGGGUCUUGUACACACCG
rnacentral:rRNA from 1 species